UGGGGCCUGGGGUGGGGGAGCUUGGGUUCCUUUCUCCUGUGCUCUGGUAACAAUGAGAUGGGAAUCUCACAAUCUGCUGGCAUCUGAUUACAGAAAACUAACCCAGAUGGCAUCUCUCCACCAGGUCACAACUCACCAGAGGCCAACCCCAUCAGAAACACACACACUGGCCAGGUCCGAGGCAGGCUCGUCCAAGUGAAGGACACUAAAUCUGGUGUCCACGCCUUCCUGGGAAUCCCCUUUGCCAAGCCUCCUGUAGGACCACUGCGCUUUGCACCUCCUGAGGCCCCUGAACCAUGGAGUGGUGUGAGAGAUGGAACUGCACAUCCGGCCAUGUGUCUGCAAAAUCUUGAACUACUGUAUCCAGAGGGCCUGAAGGAGAUGAAACUGAACCUGUUUCCCUUCUCUAUGUCCGAGGACUGCCU
rnacentral:lncRNA from 1 species